UAAUUCUUUGAGUAACCAGAUCUUUCAGCAUAUUUGAGAAACAAAAUGAAGUAAUCUAGGUUUAGGAAGAAUCUCUUUAAAAGGCAUAUUUUUCCUCCUUAUUGUUGAACAAUUUGUCCAAAACACAAUCCAUUCAUGUAGGAUUUUUGCUGUUCAGAUCUAAGUGGGAAUCAGUAGUUUCUUUGUUGGUCACUAUGGAAACGAGUCAGCCUAUCUUGAAUAGCUCUUAGAUCAUGCAGAAUGAUGCUUGUGUCUCAGUGUACUUGCUCACUGAGCAAGCCAGGGCUGACUUCUCCCUGCCUCCAGCUUGCCUCCCUGGAGCCAGCGCCAUGCAGGUGCAGGAUGUGUCCCGGAGACCCUCGGCCAUGCAUUUCCUCAGCUCCUUUCUACAGGGUCGCCGGCAUUCCACUUCGGACCCCGUUGUGAGGCUGCAGCAGGCUCGGCGUGGCUCGGGCUCUGCCACAAAGCUACUGUCCUCAUCCUCUCUUCAGGUGAUGGUGGCGGUGUCCUCUGUCAGCCAACCAGAGGGGAACCCAACUUUUCCGGAGAGAAAAAGAAAUUCUAGACACCCAACACCAAAGUACACAAAAGUGGGAGAACGUUUACGGCAUGUCAUCCCUGGACAUAUGGCAUGUUCCAUGGCAUGUGGUGGUAGAGCAUGCAAGUACGAGAACCCAACCCGCUGGAGUGAGCAGGAGCAAGCCAUUAAAGGGGUUUACUCAUCUUGUUCCUCCCCUAUCUGCAGGAUCACUGACAAUAUCCUGGCCAUGGCUCGCCCGUCCUCGGAACUUCUCCAAAAGUACUGCAUCAUUGAGCAGUUCCUCAGUCAUGGCAUAAAAACAAUCAUCAACCUGCAGCGGCCUGGUGAACAUGCUAGCUGUGGGAACUCCCUGGAACAAGAAAGUGGCUUCACCUACCUUCCUGAAGCAUUCAUGGAGGCUGGCAUUUAUUUCUAUAACUUCGGCUGGAAGGAUUAUGGUGUUGCCUCUCUCACUGCCAUCUUAGAUAUGGUGAAAGUAAUGACAUUUGCAUUACAAGAAGGAAAAGUAGCCAUCCAUUGUCAUGCAGGGCUUGGCCGAACAGGUGUUCUAAUAGCAUGUUAUUUAGUGUUUGCAACAAGAAUGACUGCUGAUCAAGCAAUUAUAUUUGUGCGGGCAAAGCGACCCAAUUCCAUACAAACCAGAGGACAGCUGCUCUGUGUACGGGAAUUUACUCAGUUUCUAACUCCUCUCCGCAAUAUCUUCUCUUGCUGUGAUCCCAAAGCACAUGCUGUCACCUUAGCCCAGUACUUAAUUCGCCAGCGUCAUCUGCUUCACGGUUAUGAGGCACGACUUCUGAAACAUGUGCCAAAAAUCAUCCACCUAAUUUGCAAAUUGCUACUGGACUUGGCUGAGAACAGGCCGGUGCUGAUGAAGGAUGGAUUGAAAGGGUCUGAACUCUCUGCUGAAAUAGAAAAGACUGUUUCUGAGAUGGUCACAGUGCGCCUAGAUAAAGAGUUACUGAGGCACCACAGUGUCAUAGCUGAUUCAUUUAACUCUACUGGAGUGGCAACAGAGCUUGAGAAUCAAGAAGUGAUUCUUUCCAAUGAGCAAGAGUUUGAUCCUCUUUGGAAGAGGCGGAAUGUUGAGUACCUUCAGCCCCUGACUCGGCUGAAAAGACGGCUCAGCUACAGUGACUCAGACCUGAAGAGGGCAGAGGCUCUCCUCGAGCAAGGUGAAACUCCAUGGACAGUGCCUGCCCGGGACUUACUAGGUCACAACCUCCAGCAUCAGAAGCCCAGCAGCCACUGUUACACUCCACUGUCUCCAGAGCUGAAUCUCAGUAAGGAAACAUUGGUUCACAGUACAUUUUCCUUCUGGAACCAAUCUAAAUGUGGCUACCUGGAAGGACACAAAGAAGAUGAAUCACCCCUUUGCCAAAGGAGAGACAUUCAAAAGGAAAUACAACGCAGUCGAACCUUCUCCGUGGGUGUUUCGGGUUCACACCCUGGAGAACCGGUUUCACCCACCUUUACAAAUAUCUCCAAGAACCCAAAUCCCUCUCACCAGCAAUUGGCCCACUGUCAGUAUGACCCUCAUGGUGGCUGGAGCCCAGGCUCUGUCAAGGUGGAGGGCAGGAUUCACUGCAGACCUCUGGACUGUGGCUCCAGUCCCAAGGUACAGGUGCUGAUUGGACCUAAAACCCAGGACAGCAAAGAUCUGUCUGAAGCAGUGCCACACACCAAUUUGCAGUCUGAACUAAGUGUGGAAGCAAGGAGAAUACUGGCAGCCAGAGCCCUGGCAAACUUAAAUGAGUUUGCAGAAAAGGAGGAGGUGAAAAAGAAGGUAGAAAUGUGGCAGAAAGAACUAAAUUCCCAAGAUGGAGCUUGGGAAAGAAUAUGUGGUGAGAGAGACCCUUUCAUCUUGUGUGGUUUGAUGUGGUCUUGGGUGGAGCAACUGAAAGAACCUGUAAUCACUAAAGAGGAUGUGGACAUGUUGGUUGACAGACAGGCUGAUGCUGCUGAAGCCCUGUUCUUACUAGAGACGGGACAGCACCAGACUAUCCUUUGCGUGUUGCAUUGCAUAGUGAAUCUGCAGACAAUACCUGUGGAAGUGGAGGAAGCUUGCCUUGCUCAUGCCAUUAAAGCUUUUACUAAGUUGUUGCCAGAAGAAACAACCUGCAUUUGUCAGAAUUCACCUGAGAAGGAUCACGCCUAGGAGGAAAGCCGAGAGCCCAAGAUAGAUCCUGGUUGUUUCUCAGUGGGUCACAUGUUCCUCUGGGGAUGGGGCACUUGCUAUACUUCUCUGUCCUGCUGUCCCUCCUCACCCAGAGUACGGCUGCCUGGGCAAAGACUCUGUCUGUACACAGUACCUUUUCAGCAAGGAGAAGAAGACUAGCUUUUACUGAGGUUUUCAUGUGCAAAUAUAUGUUAGAUGCCCAUAAAUACCAGACUUCAUUUACUCUCACAAAAACCCUAAGGCACUGGGUGUUGUGGUCUCUACUUGACAGAGGAGGAAAUUGAGGCCCACAGAGAUGGGGUAUGACAUGGAGAUACACAGCUGGUAGAUGGAAUCAGCUCGGCACUCGGGUCACUCCAACACGGGUCCAGAAUGGCCUGGGGCCUCUCAGCACCGUACUUAUUGCUGACAUGCUUUCUUUAAUAAAGGAGACUUGUCCUUAAAUAACAGUGAUUGUCUCUGAAUUAAAGACACACUUCACAUUCACUGCUGACUCUUCAUGGUUAGAUCUAUAUAAUCAUGCUAAAUAUCCAGGUACUAGAUUAAUUUUUUGAAUGUUUAAUCAAAGUCUGAUAUUAAUAUGAUUGGCAGUUCUAAUAUAUUCUUUCAAUUAAAAUGUGUGAAAUUUAUUAUGUGUAUUUUUUAAAUUAUACCUUUUUUUGUUUGUUUUUUUGAGACAGGGUCUUGCUAUGUAGUUCAGGCUGGUCUUGAACUCACUAUGUAGCCUGGGCUGGCCUUGAACUCACAGUGAUCUCCUGCCUCAGCCUCCUAAAUGCUGGAAUUACAGGUUAAUUUUGAUUCUGAAAAUGGACCAAUCAUUUACAACACCCUGAAGAAAAUAUUUAAGCACACGUUAGAAGAAAAGAGAAAAAUGGCAAAAGACGGCUCCAUGCCUGGCCUCUUAUGAAGUUGACUUUCUUCUCACCCUGAAUAUUUCAGACCUAAAGAUCCAAAUACCAUUUCUGCUCACAUGUGGAUAAACUGAAGUUUGUGGAGCUGCUUUUUCUCAUAGCACUUUAUUUUGGAUGCCAUUGGCUUAUGCUGAGAAUGAUCAUUCCUGUUUGGAACUAUUAUUUAUUUUAAAAUAUCUUGAGCUACAUCUUAGUCUUUAAAAAAUUGCUAUAAAGUUGGUGCCACUUUUAUUUAUUUGAGUGAAAUAACAUUGUAUUAACAUUUUAAGUGUGUGGCGUUUACAUCCUUAUUCUCUUUGACAUUUUGGGAAAAAAACAGCUUUUCCUUCCAAAACAGUUAUUUUCUUGACAGAACUCUUCCUAGAGCUUCUACCAAAUAGAUCAUUUUAGUAGUAAAACCUCUCUGUGUAUACACCCCUGGGCACAUGACCUAAGAAAGUCACCAAGUGUCUUAAACUGUUUUAUAUUUGUUACUAAGAAGGCUGUUGAUACAUUUUUAGAGGACUUUUUAAAACUUUGAAAGUUUUUGGAUUUUUUUUCUUUUUAUAAAUGUGACAAAGAGUUUCAAAGUGUAUUCUUUUCAGAGUGAUUUAGUUUUAAUGGACUGACCUUGAAAUGGUCAGGAUUUUUUACUUGUAGAAAGUGGACUCAUUCUUCAUCAGGCUUCUGCACAACUUCAGCCUGGGCUGUAACAGGAGGCAGGGAGAAUUGUCAACACACCAGGCCUUAUUCCCACUCCCCUGAGCUGCUGCUGAGCCAGAGAGAAUCAGGGAUCAGAAGCAGGCAUGUGAAAGUCACUGUGGAAACGGAUUCGCCUUUGUCUCCCAGUGACUUCACAGAAAGGACGGUCAUGCUAGGGCAGAGCUCUGUGCCAGCCCUGCUCUCUCUGGGCACAAGAGACAACUCUAGGCUGGAGGGAGUUGGGAAGGGGCCGCCGUCUAUGCCAGUGAGGUCUAAGCAUGAUCCCCCUCCCCCAUGCUGGCCAAGCCACACACUCCCAAAUCUGCCACUCCGCAGACUCGCUGGCCUCGGGCCCCUACUUUUGACUGAUGUUUUUACUAUGACAAUUAGUUUUUAAAUUGAUACUCCAGGUUGCAUUCACCCUAACUUAGCCUCAGAUAAGAAUAGGUGACUGCCUAAACUCGUUCCUUAUAGGCUAAACUAUCAAACAGCAGUUGAAGCCAUAACUUUUAUUUAAUUAAAUAAUAUGUGGGAGUAGCAGUGGCCAAACCAGAGAAAAGAAAGUAGCAUUUUCAAUAAAGAUGGUAAUAAUCAGACCAAUUUCAAACUGAAGAGGCUGCUCCUUAAUUUCAAGAUGGAAUUUCAGGGGAAGCAAGACUAAUUAAGGAAAAAUGAAAUUUCUCCAAUUCCUGCAUUUGUGAAUUACACUCAAAUACAUGAAAAGAUAUUUGUCAUUCUCAUUCACACUAAUUCUAACAGAAAGGCUAAUGUCAUUUUUUUUCAUGCUGUUUGAAUUUUCUUGGGAAAUCAAGUCCAAUGAAUGUUAAUGAACUGAUUUGCCCACACCUGAAAUGUCUCAUUUUUCAAGCCCCUAGCCUGGGAAAGGAGAAGAAACAAUUGCUUUUUAUCUAGAGGUACAAUUAGGAAUGUAGGAUUUUUACCAAAAACUGUUCGUAUAUCCACCAGCCUCAAUACACACACACACACACACACACGCACACACACAGUACCACAGCUCUUUGACCAGUUCUUAUUUUGUU